GAGGCAUGGCGGCGUGCUAUACAUGCAGUCGAGCGAAUGGAUUAAGAGCUUGCUCUUAUGAAGUUAGCGGCGGACGGGUGAGUAACACGUGGGUAACCUGCCCAUAAGACUGGGAUAACUCCGGGAAACCGGGGCUAAUACCGGAUAACAUUUUGAACCGCAUGGUUCGAAAUUGAAAGGCGGCUUCGGCUGUCACUUAUGGAUGGACCCGCGUCGCAUUAGCUAGUUGGUGAGGUAACGGCUCACCAAGGCAACGAUGCGUAGCCGACCUGAGAGGGUGAUCGGCCACACUGGGACUGAGACACGGCCCAGACUCCUACGGGAGGCAGCAGUAGGGAAUCUUCCGCAAUGGACGAAAGUCUGACGGAGCAACGCCGCGUGAGUGAUGAAGGCUUUCGGGUCGUAAAACUCUGUUGUUAGGGAAGAACAAGUGCUAGUUGAAUAAGCUGGCACCUUGACGGUACCUAACCAGAAAGCCACGGCUAACUACGUGCCAGCAC
rnacentral:rRNA from 1 species